rnacentral:pre_miRNA from 1 species
CGGGGGAGGCCGGAUCCUGGGCUGUGUCCUGGCGCCCUGUGCUUCGGGACCUGCGUUGUUGGAUUCGCGCUCCCGCCCCGCAGCCCCCU